rnacentral:misc_RNA from 1 species
AUUCAGAAAUAUCAUCUUCCUAUAUUGCAUAAAUGAGAUUACCCAAAAUAUUUACAUUGGAUCCACACAUGCACCCCUAAAGAGGAAAAGUGACCAUUGAACUAGGGAAAUUUCACAUUCCACACCAUUCAGAAUGUAAGUUUAAGUACAUUGUUAAUAUUAUGACCAUUUGAAUCAAAACAACUCAGCAUUAAGAAAUCCAUUAUAAAACAUCAUUAAAAAAAAA